UAACUGGAGGAAGGUGGGGAUGACGUCAAAUCAUCAUGCCCCUUAUGACCUGGGGUACACACGUGGUACAAUGGACGGUACAAAGGGCAGCCAACCCGCGAGGGGGAGCCAAUCCCAGAAAACCGUUUUCAGUUCGGAUUGCAGGCUGCAACUCGCCUGCAUGAAGCCGGAAUCGGUAGUAAUUGUGGAUCAGCAUGCCACGGUGAAUACGUUCCCGGGCCUUGUACACACCGCCCGUCACACCACGAGAGUUUGUAACACCCGAAGUCGGUGGGGUAACCCUUAGGGGAGCCAGCCGCCGAAGGUGGGACAGAUGAUUGGGGUGAAGUCGUAAACAAGGU
rnacentral:rRNA from 1 species